rnacentral:rRNA from 1 species
AGCAGCCGCGGUAAUUCCAGCUCCAAUAGCGUAUAUUAAAGUUGUUAGCAGUUAAAAAGCUCGUAGUUGAAUUUCGGGGUUAGUAGGUCGGUCGUGCCACAGGUAUGUACUGGUCUCACUGAUUCCUCCUUCCUGAUGAACCGUAAUGCCAUUAAUUUGGUGUUGCGGGGAAACUGGACUGUUACUUUAGAAAAAUUAGAGUGUUUAAAGCAGGCUAACGCUUGAAUACAUUAGCAUGGAAUAAUGAAAUAGGACGUUCGAUCCUAUUUUGUUGGUUUCUAGGAUUGACGUAAUGAUUAAUAGGGAUAGUUGAGGGCAUUAGUAUUCAAUUGUCAGAGGUGAAAUUCUUGGAUUUAUUGAAGACUAACUACUGCGAAAGCAUUUGCCAAGGAUGUUUUCAUUAAUCAAGAACGAAAGUUAGGGGAUCGAAGACGAUCAGAUACCGUCGUAGUCUUAACCAUAAACCUAUAGCCGACUACGGGAUCGGAUGAUGUUAAUUUUUAAUGUACUCAUUCGGCGU